GGGGAUGACGGCCUUCGGGUUGUAAACCUCUUUNAGCAGGGAAGAAGCGAGAGUGACGGUACCUGCAGAAGAAGCGCCGGCUAACUACGUGCCAGCAGCCGCGGUAAUACGUAGGGCGCAAGCGUUGUCCGGAAUUAUUGGGCGUAAAGAGCUCGUAGGCGGCUUGUCGCGUCGGUUGUGAAAGCCCGGGGCUUAACCCCGGGUCUGCAGUCGAUACGGGCAGGCUAGAGUUCGGUAGGGGAGAUCGGAAUUCCUGGUGUAGCGGUGAAAUGCGCAGAUAUCAGGAGGAACACCGGUGGCGAAGGCGGAUCUCUGGGCCGAUACUGACGCUGAGGAGCGAAAGCGUGGGGAGCGAACAGGAUUAGAUACCCUGGUAGUCCAAGGG
rnacentral:rRNA from 1 species